rnacentral:rRNA from 1 species
UAGAGUUUGAUCCUGGCUCAGGACGAACGCUGGCGGCGUGCCUAACACAUGCAAGUCGAACGGGGCCCGCAAGGGUUCAGUGGCGAACGGGUGCGUAACACGUGAAGAACUUGUCCAUCGGCGGGGGAUAGCCGGCCCAACGGCCGGGUAAUACCGCGUACGCCGUCUGAAGCGCAUGCUUCGGCCGGGAAAGCAGCAAUGCACCGAUGGAGAGCUUCGCGGCCUAUCAGCUAGUUGGCGGGGUAAUGGCCCACCAAGGCGACGACGGGUAGCUGGUCUGAGAGGAUGACCAGCCACAUUGGGACUGAGACACGGCCCAGACUCCUACGGGAGGCAGCAGUGGGGAAUAUUGCGCAAUGGGCUAACGCCUGACGCAGCAACGCCGCGUGGAGGAUGAAGGUCUUUGGAUUGUAAACUCCUGUCGACCGGGAAAAAGCGACUCGACCUAACACGUCGGGGAGUUGAUUGUACCGGUGGAGGAAGCCCCGGCUAACUCUGUGCCAGCAGCCGCGGUAAUAGUCGGGCCCAAUCGCC